GAGGGAAACAACCCAGACCGCCAGCUAAGGUCCCAAAGUCAUGGUUAAGUGGGAAACGAUGUGGGAAGGCCCAGACAGCCAGGAUGUUGGCUUAGAAGCAGCCAUCAUUUAAAGAAAGCGUAAUAGCUCACUGGUCGAGUCGGCCUGCGCGGAAGAUGUAACGGGGCUAAACCAUGCACCGAAGCUGCGGCAGCGACACUGUGUGUUGUUGGGUAGGGGAGCGUUCUGUAAGCCUGUGAAGGUGUGUCGUGAGGCAUGCUGGAGGUAUCAGAAGUGCGAAUGCUGACAUAAGUAACGAUAAAGCGGGUGAAAAGCCCGCUCGCCGGAAGACCAAGGGUUCCUGUCCAACGUUAAUCGGGGCAGGGUGAGUCGACCCCUAAGGCGAGGCCGAAAGGCGUAGUCGAUGGGAAACGGGUUAAUAUUCCCGUACUUGGUGUUACUGCGAAGGGGGGACGGAGAAGGCUAUGUUGGCCGGGCGACGGUUGUCCCGGUUUAAGCGUGUAGGUGUGUGUUCCAGGUAAAUCCGGUUCACUUUAACACUGAGGCGUGACGACGAGGCACUACGGUGCUGAAGCAACAAAUGCCCUGCUUCCAGGAAAAGCCUCUAAGCAUCAGGUAACAUCAAAUCGUACCCCAAACCGACACAGGUGGUCAGGUAGAGAAUACCAAGGCGCUUGAGAGAACUCGGGUGAAGGAACUAGGCAAAAUGGUGCCGUAACUUCGGGAGAAGGCACGCUGACACGUAGGUGAAGUGAUUUACUCAUGGAGCUGAAGUCAGUCGAAGAUACCAGCUGGCUGCAACUGUUUAUUAAAAACACAGCACUGUGCAAACACGAAAGUGGACGUAUACGGUGUGACGCCUGCCCGGUGCCGGAAGGUUAAUUGAUGGGGUCAGCGCAAGCGAAGCUCCUGAUCGAAGCCCCGGUAAACGGCGGCCGUAACUAUAACGGUCCUAAGGUAGCGAAAUUCCUUGUCGGGUAAGUUCCGACCUGCACGAAUGGCGUAAUGAUGGCCAGGCUGUCUCCACCCGAGACUCAGUGAAAUUGAACUCGCUGUGAAGAUGCAGUGUACCCGCGGCAAGACGGAAAGACCCCGUGAACCUUUACUAUAGCUUGACACUGAACAUUGAGCCUUGAUGUGUAGGAUAGGUGGGAGGCUUUGAAGUGUGGACGCCAGUCUGCAUGGAGCCGACCUUGAAAUACCACCCUUUAAUGUUUGAUGUUCUAACGUGGACCCGUUACCCGGGUUGCGGACAGUGUCUGGUGGGUAGUUUGACUGGGGCGGUCUCCUCCUAAAGAGUAACGGAGGAGCACGAAGGUUGGCUAAUCCUGGUCGGACAUCAGGAGGUUAGUGCAAUGGCAUAAGCCAGCUUGACUGCGAGCGUGACGGCGCGAGCAGGUGCGAAAGCAGGUCAUAGUGAUCCGGUGGUUCUGAAUGGAAGGGCCAUCGCUCAACGGAUAAAAGGUACUCCGGGGAUAACAGGCUGAUACCGCCCAAGAGUUCAUAUCGACGGCGGUGUUUGGCACCUCGAUGUCGGCUCAUCACAUCCUGGGGCUGAAGUAGGUCCCAAGGGUAUGGCUGUUCGCCAUUUAAAGUGGUACGCGAGCUGGGUUUAGAACGUCGUGAGACAGUUCGGUCCCUAUCUGCCGUGGGCGCUGGAGAACUGAGGGGGGCUGCUCCUAGUACGAGAGGACCGGAGUGGACGCAUCACUGGUGUUCGGGUUGUCAUGCCAAUGGCACUGCCCGGUAGCUAAAUGCGGAAGAGAUAAGUGCUGAAAGCAUCUAAGCACGAAACUUGCCCCGAGAUGAGUUCUCCCUGAGACUUAGAGUCUCCUGAAGGAACGUUGAAGACGACGACGUUGAUAGGCCGGGUGUGUAA
rnacentral:rRNA from 1 species